AGUGAACGCUGGCGGUAGGCCUAACACAUGCAAGUCGAACGGCAGCACAGUAAGAGCUUGCUCUUACGGGUGGCGAGUGGCGGACGGGUGAGGAAUACCUCGGAAUCUACUUUUUCGUGGGGGCUAACGUAGGGAAACUUACGCUAAUACCGCAUACGACCUACGGGUGAAAGCAGGGGAUCUUCGGACCUUGCGCGAUUGAAUGGGCCGAUGUCGGAUUAGCUAGUUGGCGGGGUAAAGGCCCACCAAGGCCACGAUCCGUAGCUGGUCUGAGAGGAUGAUCAGGCACACUGGCACUGAGACACGGUCCAGACUCCUACGGGAGGCAGAAGUGGGGAAUAUGGGACAAUGGGCGCAAGCCUGAUCCAGCCAUACCGCGUGGGUGAAGAAGGCCUUCGGGUUGUGAAGCCCUUUUGUUGGGAAAGAAAAGCAGCAGGUUAAUACCCCGCUGUUCUGACGGUACCCAAAGAAUAAGCACCGGCUAACUUCGUG
rnacentral:rRNA from 1 species